rnacentral:rRNA from 1 species
CCAAGGAGUCUAGCAUGUGCGCGAGUCGCAGAGUUCAGCGAAACUCUUGGGCGCAAUGAAAGUGUACAUGAAAAGUGGCACUUGUACAUAUCGAUAAGCUACACGGUAGGAUCUGUCGGUGCUCUCAAGAGCAAGGCAGCGCACUACCGACCCGGCUCACACUGACGGUUGUUAUUCGGUCGACCGAGAGACGGAGUGAGAGCGUACAUGCUGGUACCCGAAAGAUGGUGAUCUAUGCCAGGGCAGGACUAGGCCCAGAGAAAUCUCGGUGGCAGUCCGAAGCGAUGCUGACGUGCAAAUCGUUCGUGAGAUCUUGGUAUAGGGGCGAAAGACUAAUCGAACCAUCUAAUAGCUGGUUCCCCUCGAAGUUUCCCUCAGGAUAGCUGGCGCACGGAAACAGUUGUUUGCGAUAAAGCUACGAUAGGAUGGCUUUGAGUGCCUCGCUAGCAUUCGAACGUACUGUCAAACUUUAAAUGUGAACGAAGGCCAGCUCGCAGGCUAAUGCCGGAGCUGAGCCGAGAAUGUGUGUGCCAAGUGGGCCACUUUUGGUAAGCAGACUGG